rnacentral:rRNA from 1 species
UACGGAGGGUGCAAGCGUUGUCCGGAUUUAUUGGGUUUAAAGGGCGCGCAGGCGGCUCAUUUUGUCAGGCGUGAAAGCCCCGGGCUUAACCUGGGAACUGCGUUUGAUACGGAUGGGCUAGAGUUCGGGAGAGGAGAGUGGAAUUCCCAGUGUAGAGGUGAAAUUCGUAGAUAUUGGGAAGAACACCCGUGGCGAAAGCGGCUCUCUGGGACGGUACUGACGCUGAGACGCGAAAGCGUGGGGAGCGAACAGG